CGAGUAUGUUAGAUAAUCGCUGGUAAUUUUUAUUACGAGAGGAAAGUCCGUGCACCACACAGCAGAAUGCCAGAUAACGUCUGGUGGAGGUGACUCUAAGGAUAGUGCAACAGAGAUAUACCGCUGAAUUUCUAACUUAUGUGUUUAACAAUUGAAAUAAUUUAGGUGUUGAGCCGUCGAAUCUUUCCAAUCGAAGCUCCAUUUUCGGUCGAUUCUCUUGGAGAUUCUUGGCAUGACACCUACUUUAUACUUCAACUAUCUCAUGGUAUUUUAUACCAUGAGAUAGUUGAGCGCAUAAGUUAGGGGUUCAGUAAGGGUGGAAAGGCGAGGUAAGAGCUCACCAGCAUAUGGGUAACUAUGUGGCUAUGUAAACCCCAUUCGGUGCAAGAUCAGAAUAGGAUACAAACCUAGUAGCUGGCUAGGUCCGGUAGGUAGAUUGCUUGAAUGUAUAGGUGACUAUACAUCUAGAUAGAUGAUUAUCAAAUACAGAACACGGCUUAUAAAUAUGCUCGCAUA
rnacentral:RNase_P_RNA from 1 species